UAACGCGAUAAGUAGACCGCCUGGGGAGUACGGCCGCAAGGUUAAAACUCAAAUGAAUUGACGGGGGCCCGCACAAGCGGUGGAGCAUGUGGUUUAAUUCGAAGAUACGCGCAGAACCUUACCAACACUUGACAUGUUCGUCGCGACUUUAAGAGAUUAAAGUUUUCGGUUCGGCCGGACGAAACACAGGUGCUGCAUGGCUGUCGUCAGCUCGUGUCGUGAGAUGUUGGGUUAAGUCCCGCAACGAGCGCAACCCUCACUUUUAGUUGCCAUCAUUAAGUUGGGCACUCUGAAAGAACUGCCAGUGAUAAGCUGGAGGAAGGUGGGGAUGACGUCAAGUCCUCAUGGCCCUUACGUGUUGGGCUACACACGUGCUACAAUGGCAUCUACAACAGGAAGCAAGACGGCGACGUUAAGCAAAUCCUUAAAAGAUGCCUCAGUUCGGAUUGCACUCUGCAACUCGAGUGCAUGAAGCUGGAAUUACUAGUAAUCGUGGAUCAGCGUGCCACGGUGAAUGCG
rnacentral:rRNA from 1 species